rnacentral:rRNA from 1 species
AUUGAACGCUGGCGGCAGGCCUAACACAUGCACGUCGAGCGAGCGGCGGACGGGGGAGUAAUGUAUGGGGACUGCCCGAUAGAGGGGGAUAACUACCGGCAACGGUAGCUAAUACCGCAUACUAUCGGAUAACCCAGAUGGGUUUAGCUAGUGGGUGAGGUAAUGGCUCACCUAGGCGACGAUCCCUAGCUGGUCUGAGAGGAUGAUCAGCAAUGCUGGGACUGGGAACCGGCCCAGAGUCCUCCGGAGGCGGCAGUUGGGAAUAUUGCAAAAGGGGCGCAAGCCGAAUGCGGCCCUGCCGCGUGUAUGAAGCAGGCCCUAGGGUGGUAAAGUACUUUAAGUCGGGAGGCGUUACCGACAGAAGAAGCACCGGCUAACUCCGUGCCAGCAGCCGCGGUAAUAC